rnacentral:lncRNA from 1 species
CAACAUAUGGAAUCUAACUAAGGUUGACAAAUAAAGCAACAUGAAAAUUUAUAAUUUGUAAGUUACUAAAACCAUAAUGAUAAUUAAAGUAUCCAUAAUUUUGUGAUAAAGUUUUUCUAUUGUAAAUAUUUAAUUAAUACUAAAUGUAUAUAUGCUAUAUUAGGAGACAUUAAAAACAUGUAGGAAUAUGACGUCUAUCAUUUUAUAUUUGGUAUGACAUGAAUAUAAAAUCUUGAGAUGCAUUGACUAUAUCCAAUAUGUGUAGAUGUAUUUAUAAACAUUGUUAGAAUAGAAAACAACAUUCUGAAAAAUAUAAGCAAAUUUGAGCAUGUUUAGGUCUACAAAAAAUAUAUAAGGUUUAGUAUUAUGCUAGAGGUAUGAUGGCUGUGGAUGAAAAGUCUACUAUGUCCACUAAAUUGAAGGUGAAAUUGAUGUUGAAGUCUGAUGACAGAUCCAGAUUUCUUCUAAACAAUUGCAGCUCCAUAGUAGAGACACUAAUUAAAUUCAUUCAUGUUGAAUUUGUGGACCAUGUAUAGAGCUAUAGUUUUACAUAUCAUAAAAUUCAGGUCCAACCAUCUUUAACUAGAUAUUUGGUAUCUGUGAAAAGGAACAACUACAUACUUUGUGGACCAAGAAUACUCCCAGAUUCUAUCAUGAUUAAUUUUUGACCACUCAUUAAACCGAAUAGAGCGUUUAUAUAUUUCAAUGCGAGAAGAUGCAAAUGGGCUACCCUAUUCGCUAGAUGACAUAAUCACUUCCUUAAUCAUUUUUGGCCUUCCUUUCUUAAAUAUUUUCUUGCAAUAAGUGGGAAUAUGUGAGCAAUCCACUUUGAUUUUAUUUUUAUAAAGUCAAAAUGCCCAAAAGGAGGAAUGUUUUGAAUGUUUGACCAUGGAAUCAC